UAAGUGCAUGUGGUGGAUGCCUUGGCGAUUACAGGCGACGAAGGACGUGAUAGCCUGCGAUAAGCUUCGGGGAGCUGGCAAAUAAGCUUUGAUCCGGAGAUUUCCGAAUGGGGAAACCCACCUCGUUUAGAGGUAUCGCAUGCUGAAUACAUAGGCAUGCGAGGCGAACCGGGCGAACUGAAACAUCUCAGUAGCUCGAGGAAAAGACAUCAACCGAGAUUCCGAAAGUAGUGGCGAGCGAAAUCGGAUCAGCCCAGUGGCUGUUCUUUAAUAACUGGAAGCAUCUGGAAAGUUGCACCAAAGUGGGUGAUAGUCCCGUACAGGUAAAAAUUAGAACAGUCCUUGAGUAGGGCGGGACACGUGAAAUCCUGUCUGAACAUAGGGGGACCAUCCUCUAAGGCUAAAUACUACUGAUCGACCGAUAGUGCACAAGUACCGUGAGGGAAAGGUGAAAAGCACCCCGAUUAGGGGAGUGAAACAGUACCUGAAACCGG
rnacentral:rRNA from 1 species